rnacentral:lncRNA from 10 species
GAUGGUCACACCCUCAUGGAGACCUCUUCAACAUUAGAUAGGUCCAAUCUCUGUAACCAACAGAAUAUUGCAGAAAUGAAGGAGUGUGACUUUGAAAACUAGUUCAUAAAAGACAUUAUGGUUUCCUUUUUGCUUUCACUUUUAGAUCAUUUGGCCUAGGGGAAGUCAGCUGCCAUGUUGUGAGGAUGCUCAAGCAGCCAUAUGGAGACACGCACAUGACAAAGAACUGAGGCCUCCUAACAACAACCAGCACUGACUAGCCAGUCAUGUAACACAUCCACACAGACCUUUGGCCAAGUCCUAAAAAUGAGAAGAGUGUUGGUUGAUGAUGGUAGCAGCUGGUGCCCAAAGGACGCCCAUUUGCCUUCAGUUAUAGAUCAGUGCAUGCUCUGAGUUAUCCACACCACAGCUGCCCCAGAAAUAACACUGCAAAGAGUCAAUUUGUGGUCUGGCAGCAUUGCUCCAGCUUGAGCUUUGGAUGAAAUUCAGUCCAUUUAUCCAUAUUUUAAAGAGGCUCCUUUAGAAUAAAGGCUAAGCGUCUCCAGCCUUGCAUUCAGCCCUGAAAACACAAACAAAUAUUUGCAUGUACUGACCUUCCUAAAUUUGUCAGAUGACUUUUCGCAUAACCUAUGAUUACUGCUAAUUUUUCUUCAAAGCACACACAGUUUUCUUACCUCUGAACAUGCAUUCAGGAAAUGAAAAUAUGACCAUUUCUUCAACUGAACUGUUGCUCUGGAAAAUUACAUUUUGUGCUGUUGUGAGGACAGUCAACAGCUAUAGAUUAGGAGGCCAGGGCAACACCAUUAAUACAUCUAUCAGAGUUGUAUUAAAAGGACUUUGAUAUGUCCAGCAGUCAUUAAGGUACCAAGCCUGGCUGUCAAAGGAAGAAGAGGGACAUUGAGCCUGCUCUGUAGGGCCCUGAGGCUGCCGUACCUGUGCCCAGCUCACCUGGUGAUAGUCUCCAACCACUGAGAGCUGAAAUCAUGGAAUGAAUUUUGCUAUUCAGUGAGAAUGGUCUAAUCCACAGUGAGAUGCUGCACCUGUCUCUGGCCACUAUUGCUGUACAGACUUGUCAUUCAUGAAGAGAGGUGACAAUCUGUCGUCAACUCUCCAACAUCCAUUAUUCCCAAGCAGUCAAUCUAAUUCAAUCUGGAUCUCAUUUCCCUUGCCAGUGAUUGAUUUAGAAGAGGCAUGGGGACUAAUCCUGACCAUGGAGAAGAGAAGAGAAUUCUGUUGUGGGUGGGAGCCUCUGGGAAAGGUUUUCUUAUUCCUAAAAAGAGGCCCAAGAAAAAGAUGGCUUUUUUCAUUUUAGAAGUGGUUAUUUCUGAGUGUGCUGCCUGGAACUACUGCUCCCAUCUGGCAUCCACCCAUGGGACUGAGGCUCAGCCAAGAACAGAAGAGAUGAGAGAGACAGAGAAACAAGGCCAGAGCCACAACAGACUAAGCCUGCAGCCUGCCUUACCUGUGGACUUAUUGCUAUGUAUGAGAAUUCAUUCCCUUAUGUUUGUCUUAGUCCAUUUGUGUUGCUAUAAAGGAAUACCUGAGGCUGGGUAAUUUAUAAAGAAAAAAGGUUUAUUUGGCUCAUGGUUCUGCUGGCUGGAGGACUGGGCAUCUGGUGAAAGCCUCAGGCUGUUUUCGUUCACAGCAGAGGGCAAAGAAGCAGGGCAGGCAUGUGCAGAGAUCACAUGGCAAGAGAGGAAGUGAGAGAGAAAGGAGGUGCCAGGCUCUUUUUAUAGGUUGGUGCAAACGUAAUUGCGGUUUCAAACCAUGAAUUUUAAAUCAUUAUAACUAGGCUCAAAUACAUCUUUAUUAAUCAAAAUAGAAACCAUUACAAUCAACACAUUUUUGCCAAUGAGAAAUAAGUUUGUACAUUCCUGUAGCAUAAAAAUUCAUGCAUCAGGAUUCAACAAACUCUUGGAAAGUGUUUUCUGCAUCCUGCCGGUUGUGGAAGCAUUUUCCCUGCAAAACGUUGUCGAGAUGUUUGAAGAAGUGGUAGUUGGUUGGCAAGAGGUCACGUGAAUAUGGAAGAUGAGGUAAAACUUUGUAGCCCAAUUCAUUCAACUGUUGAAGCAUUGAUUGUGCAACGUGCAGUCAGGCAUUGUCGUGGAGAAGAGUUGGGCCCUUUCUGUUGACCAAUGCUAGCUGCAGGCAUUGCAGUUUUUGGUGCAUCUCACCGAUUUGCUAAGCAUACUUCUCAAGUGUAAUAGUUUCACUGGGAUUCAGAAAGCUGUAGUGGAUCAAACUGGCAGCAGAGACCACCACACAGUGACUACCACACAGUGACCACGACCAUUUUUGGUGCAAGUUUGGCUUUGGGAAGUGCUUUGGAGCUUCUUCUCGGUCCAACCACUGAGCUGGUCAUCACUGGUUGUCGUAUAAAAUCCA